UGGUGCCAGCAGCCGCGGUAAUUCCAGCUCCAAUAGCGUAUAUUAAAGUUGUUGCAGUUAAAAAGCUCGUAGUUGAAUUUCGGGAUCAAGGGAUUGGUCAUGCCUCGGUAUGCACUGGUCUUAUUGGUUCUCACCUUCUAAGGAACCAUGAUGUCAUUCAUUUGAUGUUGUGGGGAAUUAGGACUGUUACCUUGAAAAAAUUAGAGUGUUUAAAGCAAGCUUACGCUUGAAUACAUUAGCAUGGAAUAAUGAAAUAGGACAUCAGAUUCUAUUUUGUUGGUUUCUAGGAUCGAUGUAAUGAUUAAUAGGGAUAGUUGGGGGCAUUAGUAUUCAAUUGUCAGAGGUGAAAUUCUUGGAUUUAUUGAAGACUAACUACUGCGAAAGCAUUUGCCAAGGAUGUUUUCAUUAAUCAAGAACGAAAGUUAGGGGAUCGAAGACGAUCAGAUACCGUCGUAGUCUUAACCAUAAACUAUGCCGACUAGGGAUCGGAUGAUGUUAAUUUUUUAAUGACUCAUUCGGCG
rnacentral:rRNA from 1 species